UACAGAGGUCCCGAGCGUUGUUCGGAUUCACUGGGCGUAAAGGGUGCGUAGGUGGUGAGGUAAGUUUGUGGUGAAAGCUCCGGGCCUAACCCGGAAAAUGCCUCGAAUACUAUCUUGCUAGAGGGUUGUAGGGGAGACUGGAAUUCUCGGUGUAGCAGUGAAAUGCGUAGAUAUCGAGAGGAACACCAGUGGCGAAGGCGAGUCUCUGGACAACUCCUGACACUGAGGCACGAAAGCCAGGGGAGCAAACGGG
rnacentral:rRNA from 2 species